rnacentral:rRNA from 1 species
AUUGAACGCUGGCGGCAGGCCUAACACAUGCAAGUCGAACGAGUGGCGGACGGGUGAGUAAUGUAUGGGAAACUGCCUGAUGGAGGGGGAUAACUACUGGAAAAGGUAGCUAAUACCGCAUACCAUCAGAUGCGCCCAGAUGGGUUUAGCUAGUUGGUGGGGAAAAGGCUCACCAAGGCGACGAUCCCUAGCUGGUCUGAGAGGAUGACCAGCCACACGUGAACUUCGACACUGUCCAGACUCCUACGGGAGGCCGCAGUGGUGAAUAUUUCACAGUGGGCGGAAGCCUGAUGCAGCCAUUCCGCGUGUAUGAAGAAGGCCUUAGUGUUGUAAAGUACUUUCAGCGGGGAGGCGUUACCCGCAGAAGAAGCACCGGCUAACUCCGUGCCAGCAGCCGCGGUAAUUC